AACAUGAUUACCAUACACUAGAACACAAAAAACAGUAUAUUAGCUAAUGAGUAAUUAUGAUUGCUUCUUCUGGCCUUAACUAUCUCUAAACAAAUUGAACACAAUCCAGAACUCUAGAUCCAUCUCUUAUCCUACUUUAAUCACAUCAAAAUAAAGAAAAUGAAUCAGAAAAUGAACUCGAAAUAGCCUCUUAAUUUAUAAACAAAAUCCAGCAAUUACAUGAACAAAAUGGAACCAUAGCCUCAAUGAAAAAUCACAAAGCAAUUCAAUCCGGACGAAAUCACGAACAAAACCUUGGAGACAAAUAAUCGACGGAGGACAAUCUGACCAGAAAUCGAAUCGGCACCGCAACGACAACCUCAAACCGUUUCUAACAUAUUGGCUCCAAAUCUGUUUGUGUUUUCAACAUAAGUGUGUGUGUUUUGUGAAGAAGAUAACAGGCAGUGAGGGGUCAUUCAUUUCUACUCAAUUGCGGCUAUCUGCCUGGUGUAUUUUCCAUUGGUUCAACAUUGGAAUCUGAAGGAGAAGGCGAUGGGGUUUUCUAAGUGAUGAAAGGGUUGUCUGUCUCAGGUUUUUGGUUAAAAAUCAGCCAUUUUCAUGGCUACUUGAAGAAUAUGAUGAACAUGGGGGUCCGAAUGUUUUUGAUUUUUUCUUUUUGUUCUCUCCGUCCGUCUUUUAUGUAAUUUUUUUCCUCCUCUUUUUUGUUUUGUAGAAAUGGUUAUAUAGAGUGUACGAGUAGGGUGUUAUGUGGGGAAGUUUAUUUGGGAAGAAGGUGUUAUGUAAGGUAAUAUUUUUGGGGGAAGGUUUUAUGUGGGGGAAUAUUUUGGGAGGAAGGUCUUAGGUGAGGAGAAAUGAUAUGGGGGGGGGGGGAAAUAUUUUGGGAAAGAAUCUUCCCAUUUUUCUAAGUGAUGAAAGGGUUGUCUGUCUCAGGUUUUUGGUUAAAAAUCAGCCAUUUUCAUGGCUACUUGAAGAAUAUGAUGAACAUGGGGGUCCGAAUGUUUUUGAUUUUUUCUUUUUGUUCUCUCCGUCCGUCUUUUAUGUAAUUUUUUUCC
rnacentral:lncRNA from 1 species